AUUGAACGCUGGCGGCAGGCCUAACACAUGCAAGUCGAACGGUAACAGGAAACAGCUUGCUGUUUCGCUGACGAGUGGCGGACGGGUGAGUAAUGUCUGGGAAACUGCCUGAUGGAGGGGGAUAACUACUGGAAACGGUAGCUAAUACCGCAUAACGUCGCAAGACCAAAGAGGGGGACCUUCGGGCCUCUUGCCAUCGGAUGUGCCCAGAUGGGAUUAGCUUGUUGGUGGGGUAACGGCUCACCAAGGCGACGAUCCCUACCUGGUCUGAGAGGAUGACCAGCCACACGGGAACUGAGACACGGUCCAGGCUCCUACGGGAGGCAGCAGUGGGGAAUAUUGCACAAUGGGCGCAAGCCUGAUGCAGCCAUGCCGCGUGUAUGAAGAAGGCCUUCGGGUUGUAAAGUACUUUCAGCGGGGAGGAAGGGAGUAAAGUUAAUACCUUUACUCAUUGACGUUACCCGCAGAAGAAGCACCGGCUAACUCCGUGCCAUCCGCCGCAGUAA
rnacentral:rRNA from 1 species